CCUCUAGAAAUCCUCAAGAAAUGUCGCCUCUUCCUGGUGUGAGUCACCCAUGUGCGCAAUGUCUCAUCCAAAACCUCAGGCUGGAUGAGUACCAGACUUCUGAAAGCGUACAGGUCUGCCGGGAAGUUGCCUCCUCUCAGCUCCGAGUAGCAGAGUGCACACUUCCAAGGAGCCUCUUACAAUAGCAGAUAACACCCAAGGAAGUACCAGAUGGCAAUGACCAGAUGAAGCUGCCAUACGCCUAUUCCAGACCACCAGUGCUAGACAUCUCAACGCCAAGGCCCCGGGCUCUGAGGAAUGACACCCGGACCUUCGCCUCUGUCCUGAUGGGUUCCUGGAUGCCUGAGGGGACACCUACAGCAGACCUCAAUACAAACCCCGGACCCCAGACAAGACCCUUUCCUUCCAGAGUCUCCCAAACACUCUGUUCUUGCACUUUCUCCAUAUCUCUGUAUCUUCCCCAUUUCUCUGUAUCUGCAAUAAACUAUGCUUUUACCUCCUGCGA